GACGAACGCUGGCGGCGUGCUUAACACAUGCAAGUCGAACGGAAAGGCCCUGCUUUUGUGGGGUGCUCGAGUGGCGAACGGGUGAGUAACACGUGAGUAACCUGCCCUUGACUUUGGGAUAACUUCAGGAAACUGGGGCUAAUACCGGAUAGGAGCUCCUGCUGCAUGGUGGGGGUUGGAAAGUUUCGGCGGCUGGGGAUGGACUCGCGGCUUAUCAGCUUGUUGGUGGGGUAGUGGCUUACCAAGGCUUUGACGGGUAGCCGGCCUGAGAGGGUGACCGGCGACAUUGGGACUGAGAUACGGCCCAGACUGCUAAGGGAGGCAGCAGGGGGGAAUAUUGCACAAUGGGCGGAGGCCUGAUGAAGCAACGCCGCGGGCGGGAAGACGGCCUUCGGGUUGUAAACCGCUUGCGCCUGUGACGAAGCGUGAGUGACGGUAAUGGGUAAAGAAGCACCGGCUAACUACGUGC
rnacentral:rRNA from 1 species